rnacentral:lncRNA from 1 species
GUGUAUGGGUGGUGACUCUUUUCCUUGUGCGAUUUGCUAAGACAUCCUCUUUUGAGGGGAAGAGUGAGUGCAGUGGGAAGAAGGUUUGAGUCUUUCUCCUGGAUACUUCUGAAACAGAAGAAGCAUCUCUUCAUGUGACAAGGAAAAAAGUAGGAGAAAGAAGAUGCAGAGACAAAGAGAGGAGCUCACAUGUUCACUGGCAAUACUGACUAAGGAGAAAAUACAUGAGAAGUCAAAUGAAAUUUAACUGACUUCAUUUCUUGCAUCUUUAACAGAAGUAACUUUACUAUCCUCACAACAUGCCAAAUUUUUGAGUCAUGAAUAUCCGUUAAAAAUAAAGGGGAUCACCUUGAGCUCCAAAAAUGCAAAUCAACUGGAAAAACACCAGCUGGUCUGAAUCUUUCAACAUUGCAGUUGAGUCUGCCUCAUGUCAGCAGGCUCGCAGGUAUUCUUUUUAUAGAAACAGAACUUAGCAAAUCUAGCUGCUGUUUCUUUCUUGUCAAAAGUGAAUUUCUCCCUUCCCCAGCUGUAUCCAAACACACACACACACAGACAUCAAUUGCACACAAAUAUACAUUUGGAGAACAGUAGCACGUUA